AUGAUAGAGAAAUGAACAUUCAAAUACCUGGCAACAGCUCUGGUGGAUGUUCCUGCAGUCAGCAUACAAUUGCACGCUCCCUCAAAACUUGAGACAUCUGUGGUAUUGUGUUGUGUGACAAAACGGCACAUUUUAGAGUGUUUCUUCCUAGGGAGUUUGUCCUAGCCACCGUGAUUGUACAUCUGCAUUGCUUGCAUUGCUUGCAGAUGUACAGCACUUUGUGACAUCGCCUGAUGUAAAAAGGGCUUUAUAAAUCAAUUUGACUGAUUAAUCAUAGAAAAGGGUCUGAAUACUUAUGUAAAUAAGGUAUCUGGUUUUUAGUUUUUAUAAAUUUGCUAACAUUUCUAAAAACCUGUUUUUGCUUUGUCAUUAUGGGGUACGGUGUGUAGAUUGAUGAGGAAAAACAUUAAUUUAAUCCAUUUUAGAAGUCUAUAACGUAACAAAAUGUGGAAAAAGUCAAGGGGUCUGAAUACUUUCCGAAUGCACUGUAUGGUGUCACAGACAUAUACAUGGUUCUCCAAUACCACCCGUGACUCUUGGAAUAUGAAGACAUAUAUACUACCAUCAAUGUUGGUGAAGCCCUCUGAAGAUAAUGCUGAAGAUAUGAUGCAACAAGAACAGGAGUGAACUCAUGGAAUUAAACUUAACAGAUGAGCAUCGCCUUCCACUCGAGGCUGUGGACUCCGGGGUUCAGUUCCACCAGAGGAAUAGACCCACAAAUGGUACAGGACAUGAAAACCCAGUGCAUAGACCACAUGGUUGUUCUGAUAAGGGAGAUCAAGCAGAGACUUCCGGAUAACAUCAAACAACUGGAGGCACUCGAGUCUCUCUCAUCCUGAGCAUUGUGCUCAAUGGCGUCAAGCCACGUCUAGAUGCUCUCUCCUUCUUCCCUCUCUUCAAAAGGAGACCCCGGAAAGGCUGACCAACAGUGGAGUGAUCCACACUCAAUAAUAGACCAACAAAGUAGGCAGUAAAAUAGAAAGGUUAGAGGUUAGGUUAGACACACUGAUGCAGUGGGGGAGAAGGAUUUACAGGAACGUGGACUUUUUGCGCUCGCAGUGCUUUCUUUGCCAUUCAGCAAUGCUGCUGUUGAACGUGCCUUCUCCCAGAAGGCAUUGAUUAAAAAGAAAAUUUAAAAACAAGCUGAGAAACAGAACACAGGAAAGAUGUCGAGCUGAGAAACAGAAUGCAGGAAAGAUGUCUUGAGAACAUCAUGAGAGUCUGAGCCCACGUGCAAAAGGAACGUCAGCAAGGAUGCUCUCAUUGUUCACCGCUGACAUCUACUCAGCACAACAGGCUGAGGUAAAAUGGAGACAACCCUCUUCUCUAAAAGAAGAGAGGAAACAGACUGUAAAUAGUUACAUUUGAUGUGAAUAGUUUGGAUGGGUGGAACAAAAAAAGAACAGACAGAGUGGCAGUUCACAGCAGGAGGAGAGUGCUCUGGAUACGGGCAGGGAGUUUGCUGAACACAAGAAAAAAAGCAGGAGCAACAUGGGGAAUUGCAGCAGCAACUUGUAUGGGGAUCACCCCAUCCUCUAUGGAGGGCUACUAUCAAACCAGCACUGCUGUUUUGAGAGAGGAUGGAUGACUGGGACAUCAGGCUGCAACCACACAUUAAUUGACAUUUAUUAUGAAAUAAAAGAACUGUUGGGGCUUUUAGAUUUGUAUACUCCCGUUUAAAGGAAUACGAUUAUUUUAGAGCAAUGUGACUUGCAUUAACCCUAUUACACAAUGAUUAACAUUGUGUUAACACCAUUUCAGAAGAAUGUGUUCUGAAAAAAAACAUACCUCUUUAUCAUUCACUAUGAAUCACUUCUAUAGUUCAGAUUUAUUUAUUAAAUCAUUUGGUGUGAUGAACCAAUAACAAAGGGAGAAAGGCAAAGAACAAGGUAAAGCAAAUUGACCAUAAGUAUUUAGAUUGUCAUUAUGAAGACACCUAUUGGAUAGAUGUGAGAACUCCUCUCUUGCUGCUGGAAAACAAAUGUGGGCUAUUUUUCAGCCCUUGUGGGCGGGUUUUGAGUGGUAAUUGGACCUGAAAUGUUUGCUUAACCUGGCAACACAGACAGUGAGUCAGUUCAGGUGUAACCUACAUCUGUCCAAGAGCAACACCCAACUUUAAACUCUGCCCUGAACUACCUAGACUUACUCAUAUCCUCAAACGCAAUUCAUAAUGUCAACAUAAAAAAUUAUAACAUAGGCUACAGAUAUCCAUAAAAUGAGCAUGACUAUCACGAGUAAAAAGCUGGACUAUUGCAAUGUAGAAGUACGUUUUUGAGCAUGACUAUAUGACUGGCUAUCAUGUAAACGCCGAUAGGACGGUA